AGAGCGAACGCUGGCGGCGUGCUUAACACAUGCAAGUCGAACGCGCAGCAUUCUGUAGCAAUACAGGGUGUGGGCGCGUGGCGAACGGGUGCGUAACACGUGGAUAACCUUCCUUCAGGUGGGGAAUAACCCAGUGAAAAUUGGGCUAAUACCGCAUAACAAAACGAUGAGACAUCUUGUUGUUUUCAAAGGCGCAAGUCGCCAGAAGAGGGAUCCGCGGCCGAUUAGCUUGUUGGCGAGGUAAUGGCUCACCAAGGCAAUGAUCGGUAGCCGGACUGAGAGGUUGGCCGGCCACACUGGAACUGAGACACGGUCCAGACUCCUACGGGAGGCAGCAGUGGGGAAUCUUGCACAAUGGGCGAAAGCCUGAUGCAGCAACGCCGCGUGGGGGAUGAAGCUUCUCGGAGUGUAAACCCCUUUCGACCCGGAAGAAGCCCGCAAGGGUUUGACGGUACGGGUAUAAGAAGCCCCGGCUAACUACGCGCCAGCAGCCGCGUAA
rnacentral:rRNA from 1 species